UUUUUAAUUAAAAACUAGAAUGAAAGGUUAUACAUUCAAAUUUCUUUAUUAAUUUUUAAUAAAUAAUUUAUAUUAAAUAUAAAAAUAUAUUUAUAAAAAAAAAAGACGACAAGACCCUAUUAAAUUUUACUUAUAGUUUAGCUGGGGAAGCUUUUCAAUUAAAAUUUUUUAAUUUAAAUAAAUAAAAAUCUAAUAAAAUUAAAAUUUUAAUAAAUUACUAUAGGGAUAACAGCAUUAUAUUUUUUAAAAGUUCAUAUUAAAAAAAAUGAUUGUGACCUCGAUGUUGAAUUAUAUUUUCUAUAUUAAAUGCAAUAAUUAUAAAAGUAGAUCUGUUCGAUCUUUAAAAUAUUACAUGAUUUGAGUUCAAACCGGUGUAAACCAGGUUGGUUUCUAUCUUUUUAUACAUUUUUCUAGUACGAAAGGACAAAAAAAUUUUUAUUUUAAUAAAUUAGCAAAUAAAUGCAUUAGAUUUAGAAUCUAAAUACAAUUAAUAAUU
rnacentral:misc_RNA from 1 species